rnacentral:rRNA from 1 species
CCGAUAUCUGAUUAGCUAGUUGGUAGGGUAAAAGCCUACCAAGGCGACGAUCAGUAGCUGGUCUGAGAGGACGACCAGCCACACUGGAACUGAGACACGGUCCAGACUCCUACGGGAGGCAGCAGUGGGGAAUUUUGGACAAUGGGGGCAACCCUGAUCCAGCAAUGCCGCGUGAGUGAAGAAGGCCCUCGGGUUGUAAAGCUCUUUGUCAGGGAAGAAACGGUGAUCUCUAAUAUAGAUUGCUAAUGACGGUAC